CCUUACUAAAACUAGAAAAUUUGACCAUAUUAGUCCAGUACUAUCAGCACUGCACUGGCUUCCAGUCAAAUUCCACAUAGACUAUAAAAUUCUCCUGUUAACGUAUAAAGCCCUACACUGUCUCGCUCCUGAGUAUUUGCGAGACCUAAUCUCCUAUUAUGAACCACCACGAUUACUUAGAUCUCAGGGUGCUGGUUUCUUAGUAGUUCCUAAAAUUCAGAGGAGCUCUGCAGGAGGAAGAGCUUUCUCUUAUAAAGCGCCUCAACUCUGGAAUAAUCUCCCCGAAUAUGUUCGGGACUCAGACACAGUCUCAAUCUUUAAGUCUAGACUGAAAACUUACUUGUUUAGUUUAGCUUUUGGUAAUUAAUAUUUUUUUCCUUUAGAUAAGGCUACAGAUUCAGGGGUUCAUGGACAGAGGGAAUUGUGGGUAAACUGAGAUGCUGGUGCUGUUGUUCUCCCACUGCACACGGUCACUCAGGUUUGUGGACGGUGGAGUGGGUGGAUGCCAGUGUUUACAGAUGCUACUGUUCCUUCUGGCUCUCUGCCUUUAGUUAGGCUGUUUUAUUCAGUUCUGCCGGAGUCAUUUGCCACACUCUGAUAAUGUUUUAAUAUUCUCAGUUUUGCAUAAAUCCAGUCAAAACUAAUUCCAUCUCUCUGCCUUCCUCCGAGUUACUGACUGCCCACCUGUCUGACCCGAUACCGAUGUUGGACCCUCAGGCUCUCGCGUCUCCUGUCCGGCCAGACUGAUGGAAGUUUCUGAAGUCAGCUCUUCUCCACCACCACCACAGAUCAGCUGCUCAUCGUCCAUCUUAUUCUCCACUACAGUUUACAUCCAAGCCAUUAGUGGCGCGCUAUUAUAGUCCUGAAUAUAUAAAACCUAUAUGGAUGUAUAAAAGACUUUUUAAAUUUGAAUUUAAAAGCUGUUUGACCAGUGGUAGGAUGGUCCCCCCUUAAAUGUGAGUCUUGGUCCUCCCAAGGUUUCUUCCUCCUCCUGCAGCUCUGAGGGAGUUUUUCCUUGCCUCCGCACUCACUGGGGGUUCUGUAUUCUGUAUUUUCUAUGUUUAAUGUUUUGCCUGAUUCUUUGUCCUGUAAUCAUGUUUCUGUAAAGCUGCUUUGUGCCAACACCUGUUGUAAAAAGCGCUAUACAAAUAAAUUUGAUUUGAUUUGAUUUAACCAGGAAGAAGUGACUGAACAAGACGAGUAGAUGGACGGAAGGAUCCUGCAAAUGACUUUUUUGAUUUGAUAAGGACACAACAUUGUUCGAGGUUUAACAGAAGAUGCUUCCCUGUACCAAACUCCCUUUAAUCAUAUAUACCUAGGUCUCAUCACGCCUCGACCCCUGCAGAUCCUGCUGUAUAUGGAGGACAGGGAGGAGCCAACCUCCUGAACAACUGGGUAGGAUCAUGCUGGAGACGGUGGGGAGGAUGGAGAGAAUGAAAAACCAAAACGUCCUCAGCGCCUGCAGACAGCAAAGAUUCACGACCAAGGUCACGACCAGUUCUGAUUGAGGGGGUUGAGGUGGAGGCUGUGGACUCCUACAAGUACCUUGGGCUGUGGCUGGACAGCAAGCUGGACUGGACCUGUAAUUCUGACCACCUGUACAGGAAGAGUCAGAGCAGGCUGUACUUCCUGAGGAGACUGCGGUCCUUCAACAUCUGCAAGAAACUCAUGUGGAUGUUCUAUCAGUCUGUGGUGGCCAGUGUCCUGUUCUACACCGUGGUGUGCUGGGGAUGCAGCAUAUCAAAGAAGGACUCAUCCAGGCUGGACAAACUGAUCAGGCGUGCUGGUUCUGUGGUCGGCAUGAAGCUGGACUCCUUGGUGACGGUGGCAGAGAAGAGGACUAUGGACAAACUGCUGAACGUCAUGGACGAUGCCAGUCACCCUCUGCACACCGUCAUCAGCAACCAGAAGAGCCUGUUCAGUGACAGACUGCUCCUCCCCAAAUGCAGGACCAACAGACUCCGAAACUCCUUUGUCCAAUUCCUCCCCUGGGUGAAGGAGGAGUAACAGGAGUACAGAGGAUGAGGAGGAGCA